rnacentral:rRNA from 1 species
UACAGAGGGUGCAAGCGUUAAUCGGAAUUACUGGGCGUAAAGCGUGCGUAGACGGUUAUGUAAGUCAGGGGUGAAAUCCUGGAGCUCAACUCCAGAACUGCCUUUGAUACUGGCGAUCUCGAGUCCGGGAGAGGUGAGUGGAACUGCGAGUGUAGAGGUGAAAUUCGUAGAUAUUCGCAAGAACACCAGUGGCGAAGGCGGCUCACUGGCCCGGUACUGACGCUGAGGUGCGAAAGCGUGGGGAGCAAACAGGG